GAGGGCAGCUGCUGGGGAGGCCAGAUGCCUCUGGUCUACCUCCCAACUGGGAAACCCCAACGACCUGUGGCAGACCCAAGAGCUGGCCAGGUCUGUCCCAGGCCAGCUACCUGGAGGAGUUGCUGAGCCUGUCCCAGGCCAGCUACCUAGAGGAGUUGCUGAGCUUGCCCUGCACCAGCUAUCCUGAGGAACCCAUGGUGUUGGACCCCUGUGAGGACACCACCCUUACCCAGAAAGGUUAGGACCUUCCAUCCCAGGUAGCCCCCAAUCCUCCCUUGGAAGGACUUUGGCCAACUGAAGCCCCACAAAACUGAUGGGUGACCUCUGGAAUCUAUGGUCUAUUAUGCAGCCACCCAAUCAGUUUACCUCCUUUUGACACGGUUUACCAACUUGACUGGUAAUCCCAGAAGACUGUCAGAGCCUAUGGGAGAGUUAAUACAGCUACUGCUCUGAUCCAGAACAGUUGGAUUUCAUGGCAUCCUCAUCACAGAUGGAAGACUCACCCCAUUCACCAAUUGAUUUUUCCAUAAAUCUUACAAAGUUUGCAAGAGGUCAGAUAUCACUGAUAGCAAAUUAAAGGGGAUUCUGGAAUGAUUCUCUUAUUUUAUAUACAUGUUCACGUCAUUAUGAGCUUUUCCAACAUUAAUUACCACUGACUGAAUGCUGACGGUGUGAAUUUGGGAUCUGGCUGAAAUUUAUCAAUGGCAGUCCUACUUCUUACUGUUGAAUGAUGAGAUCUCAAUUGUUUAUCUACAUAGAACUUAGUAGGGAAGUGGAUCCUGAGUAGAUCUGGUGCAACAAAUAUGUUUUAAAAAAAAAAAAGACCCUUUGGAUUUCAGGCCCCUGUUUGUUGUCAUUCGUAUUAUAACUGAGCGUUUACUUUGUGGGCACACAAAUCUGAUCAACUGGGCUAGGCACAUACAAAACUGAUUGAUGGGGCUGGGUGAAUGUAAUAUCUUCUCCAUCUUUCUUUCAGAUUUUAUCCAACAAAAGAGAAGGGCUUCUGCACAGAUGCUGACAUUUUAGGAUUCAUGUGCAGCUUCUGAAAAGUAAAAUAUUUUCCAUCAUCAGCUACACUUUUGUCCCCAACUGAUCCCCUAAUUAAACAUUAUAAAACACAAACUUUGGUGGCAAGUAAUUAGGAUUGCUGCACACAAAACAUACCUUACAGAAACCCACAAAGGCAAGGAAAUGAAAAGUUAAGCCACCUAAGAGUGUAUGCACUCUAUUCCUCCUCCCACAAUCAUAUGCCUUACUAUUAUACAACUACCAUAGACCAUACA